GUGAGGAAUAUUGGUCAAUGGGCGAAAGCCUGAACCAGCCAUGUCGCGUGAAGGAUGAAGGUCCUAUGGAUUGUAAACUUCUUUUGCAGGAGGGUAAAGUGAGCUACGUGUAGUUCAUUGCAAGUACCCUGCGAAUAAGCAUCGGCUAACUCCGUGCCAGCAGCCGCGGUAAUACGGAGGAUGCGAGCGUUAUCCGGAUUUAUGGGGUUUAAAGGGUGCGUAGGCGGACUAAUUAGUCAGCGGUGAAAUUUUGCGGCUCAACCGUAAAACUGCCGUUGAAACUGUUAGUCUUGAGUGCGGUAGAGGUAGGCGGAAUGUGUGGUGUAGCGGUGAAAUGCUUAGAUAUCACACAGAACACCGAUUGCGUAGGCAGCUUACUGGAGCGCAACUGACGCUGAGGCACGAAAGCGUGGGGAUCGAACAGGAUUAGAAACCCUGGUAGUCC
rnacentral:rRNA from 1 species